rnacentral:lncRNA from 1 species
GGCUUAAGACAAUUAGUUUUAGUUGGUUCAGCUAACCUAAACCUAUUAUCCACCAAAAUUAUCUCCAAAAUCCAAAACCAACAUGGUUGAACUUAAUGUCUUCUCUUUUUCUGCACCUUAUGACUUUUGGAGCUUGUGCCUUGGAGUAAAUGGAGGUGUAAUGGGCUAAAGUUAAUGCCUCCUUUUCUCUUUCAUCUUUUGACCUUUUGGAGUCAGUAUUUUGGAGAAAACGAAAAGACAAGAGACAAGCUGAUUUUUAAUGCAGUGCUGUCUUGGAAAAAUGAAGAGACAAGCUGAUUUUUAAUGCAGUGCUGCUUAAAAAAAUGAAGAGACAACAGAAAUAAAUAUGAGGCUGAUUUUUGGCAUUAUAAAUAUCCAAGUGUUGAAGCUUGGGAGGGGAGAUUUUUGAAGAACAGAAAUUUUCUAUUGUCCCUUUAUCUUCUUUUCUCCUAUUGAUCGUGUUACUUCUUUCUCGCGGCGUGGUUGGCUUCUUCCACUUCAACAAUACCUCUUCCAGUCUGCUGCCCCUCUUUUCCUUCCUUCUUCUCUUGCUGAAAUUCUACUUGUGGUGGUGAGGCCGCUAUCCUCGUCAGUUGUGGAUCCCCCGCAGUCAUCCGAUCGGUAUACUGUUGUCUCUCUUGAAUCCCAACCUCUCCUUAUCCCGAGUAUCAUUAUUUUCCAGCCAUCCCUACACUAUCAUCAACCCUUGCUGAAUCAACCGAAAACUAAGAGUUUUAUGUCCGAUAGGAUCAAACUUACUACUUUUGUGGAAACAUUUAUAAGUAGUUUAGUUGGAUAAUAUUAUUAUUUCUUAUAUAGUGUGCUCCCUAUCAUCUUUGUGUUGCUCCUAGUUGGCUUUUACUAUCAUUUUCUUGCUGAAAUUUUAUUUACUAUUUUGCUUAUGGUGAUUGAAGUUUUCUAGAAUUCUCAAAACAAAAAAAAGAUUAAUUAGUUUUCAAAGUUUUAAUUAAAAUUUUAAUUUUUGCAACCUCACGUUUGCAUUAAUUGGUAUCAAAACAAUAAUAUUACUCAACUAAACUGCUUAUAAAUGUUCCAACAAAAGUAGUAAGUUGGAUUUUAUCGGGCAUAAAAUUUUUAGUUUUCGGUUGAUUCAGUAAGGGUUGAUGAUAGUAGAGGGAUGGCUGAAAAAUAAUGAUACCUGGGAUAAGGAGAAGGAUUCAAGAGGAACAACGGUGUACCAAUCGUGUGAUUGAGAGGUUAGGUGCGGAGCCUCACUCGAAUAGUGAUGCAAACGUGAGGUUGCAAAAACUAAAAUUUCAAUUAAAAUCUUGAAAAUUAGUUAAUCUUUUUUUUUUGUUUUGAGAAUUUUAGAGAACUUCAAUCACCAUAAGCAAAAUAGUAAAUAAAAUUUCAGCAAGAAAGUAAUAAUAAAAUUCAACUAAGAGCAAUACAAAGAUAAUAGGGAGCACACUAUAUAAGGAACAAUAAUAUUACUCAAUUAAAUUACUUAUAAAUUUUUUCACAAAAGUAGUAAGUUUGAUCCUAUCGGGCAUAAAAUUUUUAGUUUUCGGUUGAUUCAGCAAGGGUUGAUGAUAGUGGAGGGAUGGCUGGAAAAUAAUGAUACCUGGGAUAAGGAGAGGUCAGGAUUCAAGAGGGACAACAAUGUACCGAUCGCGUGACUGCGGGGGAUCUACGGCUGACGAGGAUAGCGGCCUCACCACAGGUAGAAUUUCAGCAAGAGGGAAAGGAAGGAAAAGAGGGGCAGCAAGCCGGAAGAAGUAUUGUUGAAGAGGAAGAAGCCAACCAUGCCGUGAGGAAGAAGCGACACGAUCAAUGGGAGAAAGGAAGAAGAUAAGGGGACAAUAGAAAAUUUAUGUUCUUAAAAAAUCUCCCCUCCCAAGGUUCAACAUUUGGAUAUUUAUAAUGCCAAAAAUCAGUCUCAUAUUAAUUUCUGUUGUCUCUUCAUUUUUUAAAGCAGCACUGCAUUAAAAAUCAGUGUCUCUUCAUUUUUUCAAGACAGCACUGCAUUAAAAAUCAGCUUGUCUCGUCUUUUUGUUUUCUCCAAAACAUUGACUCCAAAAGGUCAAAAGAUGAAAGAGAAGAGGAGGCAUUAACUUUAGCCCAUUAUUUGUCUGUGUCUAAUUCAGGCUUAAGACAAUUAGUUUUAGUUGGUUCAGCUAACUUAAAUCUAUCAUCCACCAAAAUUAUCUCCAAAAUCUAAAACCAACAUGGCUGAACUUAAUGUCUUCUCUUUUUUUGCACCUUAUGACUUUUGGAGCAUGUGCCUUGGAAUAAAUGGAGGAGUAAUGGGCUGAAGUUAAUGCCUCCUCUUCUCUUUCAUCUUUUGACCUUUUGGAGUCGGUAUUUUGGAGAAAACGAAAAGGCAAGAGAUAAGCUGAUUUUUAAUGCAGUGCUGCCUUGGAAAAAUGAAGAGACAAGCAUAUUUUUAAUGCAGUGCUGCCUUGAAAAAUGAGGAGACAACAGAAAUCAAUAUGAUGUUAAUUUUUGGCAUUAUAAAUAUCAAAAUGUUGAAGCUUGGGAGAAGAGAUUUUUGAAGAACAGAAAUUUUCUAUUGUCCCCUUAUCUUCUUCCUUUCUCCUAUUGAUCGUGUCGCUUCUUCCUCGUGGCGUGGUUGGCUUCUUUCUUUUCAACAAUACUUGAACUGAUGCAGCUACUAGUGCUGCGAUCAUCAUUUCUUAUUUUAUUACAUGCAAAUUUUUUUUUAUUUUGUGAGUUUGUGUCUAAUUCGGGCUUAAGAUAAUUAGUUUUAGUUGAUUCAGCUAAUCUAAACCUAUUAUCCAUCAAAAUUAUCUCCAAAAUCCAAAACCAACANNNNNNNNNNNNNNNNNNNNUUUGUGAGUUUGUGUCUAAUUCGGGCUUAAGAUAAUUAGUUUUAGUUGAUUCAGCUAAUCUAAACCUAUUAUCCAUCAAAAUUAUCUCCAAAAUCCAAAACCAACAUGGUUGAACUUAAUGUCUUCUCUUUUUCAGUACCUUAUGACUUUUGGAGCAUGUGCCUUGGAGUAAAUGGAGGAGUAAUGGGCUGAAGUUAAUGCCUCUUCUUCUCUUUCAUCUUUUGACCUUUUGGAGUUAGUAUUUUGGAGAAAACAAAAAAACAAGAGACAAGCUGAUUUUUAAUGCAGUGCUGCCUUGGAAAAAUGAAGAGACAAGCUGAUUUUUAAUGUAGUGCUGCCUAAAAAAAUGAAGAGACAACAGAAAUCAAUAUGAGGCUGAUUUUUGGCAUUAUAAAUAUCCAAAUGUUAAAGCUUGGGAGGGGAGAUUUUUGAAGAACAGAAAUUUUCUGUUCUCCCCUUAUCUUCUUUCUUUCUCCAAUUGAUCGUGUCACUUAUUCCUCGCGGCGUGGUUGGCUUCUUCCUCUUCAACAAUACUUCUUCCAGCCUGCUGUCUCUCUUUUCCUUCUCCUCAUGCUGAAAUUCUACCUGUGGUAAGGCCGCUAUCCUCGUCAGCUGUGGAUCCCCCGCAGUCACGCGAUCGGUAUACUGUUGUCCCUCUUGAACCCUAACCUCUCCUUAUUCCAGAUAUCAAUAUUUUCCAGCCAUCCCUCUACUAUCAUCAACCCUUGCUGAAUCAACCGAAAACUAAGAGUUUUAUGUCCGAUAGGAUCACACUUACUACUUUUGUGGGAAUAUUUAUAAGUAGUUUAGUUGGAUAAUAUUAUUGUUCCUUGUAUAGUGUGCUUCCUAUCAUCUUUGUGUUGCUCUUAGUUGGAUUUUACUAUCACUUUCUUGCUGAAAUUUUAUUUACUAUUUUGCUUAUGGUGGUUGAAGUUAUCUAGAAUUCUCAAAACAAAAAAAU